UGGGGAAUAUUGCACAAUGGGCGCAAGCCUGAUGCAGCGACGCCGCGUGGGGGAUGACGGCCUUCGGGUUGUAAACUCCUUUCGCUAGGGACGAAGCUUUUUGUGACGGUACCUAGAUAAGAAGCACCGGCUAACUACGUGCCAGCAGCCGCGGUAAUACGUAGGGUGCGAGCGUUGUCCGGAAUUACUGGGCGUAAAGGGCUCGUAGGUGGUUUGUCGCGUCGUCUGUGAAAUUCCGGGGCUUAACUCCGGGCGUGCAGGCGAUACGGGCAUAACUUGAGUACUGCAGGGGUAACUGGAAUUCCUGGUGUAGCGGUGAAAUGCGCAGAUAUCAGGAGGAACACCGAUGGCGAAGGCAGGUUACUGGGCAGUUACUGACGCUGAGGAGCGAAAGCAUGGGUAGCGAACAGG
rnacentral:rRNA from 1 species